rnacentral:sRNA from 10 species
AUAUUUUAUGACUUCAUUCAAUUGAAGUCCUCAAAGUGAGUACGUCGUAAGAUCGAAGCGCUGACGGAAAACU